GGUUUAAUUCGAUGAUACGCGAGGAACCUUACCCGGGCUUGAAUUGCAGAGGAAGGAUUUGGAGACAAUGACGCCCUUCGGGGUCUCUGUGAAGGUGCUGCAUGGUUGUCGUCAGCUCGUGCCGUGAGGUGUCGGCUUAAAGUGCCAUAACGAGCGCAACCCCUCUCCUUAGUUGCCAUCAGGUUAAGCUGGGCACUCUGGGGACACUGCCACCGUAAGGUGUGA
rnacentral:rRNA from 1 species